AUUGAACGCUGGCGGCAGGCCUAACACAUGCAAGUCGAGCGAGCGGCGGACGGGAGAGUAAUCUAUGGGGAUCUGCCCGAUAGAGGGGGAUAACUACUGGAAACGGUGUCUAAUCCCGCAUAAUAUCGGAUGAACACAUCGGGGCUUGGCUAGUAGGUGGGGUAAAGGCUCACCUAGGCGACUCUCUCUAGCUGGUCUGAGAGGAUGAUCAGCCACACUGGUACUGGGACACGGUCCAGACUCCGACGGGAGGCAGCAGUGGGGAAUAUUGCACAAUGGGCGAAAGCCUGAUGCAGCCAUGCCGCGUGUAUGAAGAAGGCCUUAGGGUUGUAAAGUACUUUCAGCGGGGAGGCGUUACUCGCAGAAGAAGCACCGGCUAACUCCGUGCCAGCAGCCGCGGUAAUAC
rnacentral:rRNA from 1 species